rnacentral:lncRNA from 1 species
GGGACAGGUCACCAGCCUCCUGUAUCUACCCCCACCUUUCUUGCUUGCUGAUGUGAAAAACAAGACCCAGAGAGGGGAAAUCAUUUGAAUCCUGUCCUGGUAUUGCUUUGUGUUCCUGGAUUUGGAGAAUUUCUGGGAACACAGGAAAAGGAAAGGCUCAGCUCCAGAAGCAGACCCAGAAUGGCAUCCUUCUCUGAGACCCAGACCCCAGCCCCUCUUCAUGGAAGACCAGCACAAAGGAGGAAGUAGGUUAGGGAAUGGUAAGGCUCCAUGUGAUGGGACUAAUGUGGAGAGGCCUGGGGCCUUUCCCUGAGGACUGGAUGGCUGGAGUUUGGGAGCCUGAGUUGACAGAGGAGGCUAAGCCCGGGCAGCUACUUUGUUCCAGAAAUCUAAGGUCCCUGGAGGGAGGCUCUGCUUUGGGAGGGGGAAGGGAGCUAACAUUGCAGAGCACCAACUGUGAACCAGGUACAAUGGCAGAGCCUUUCCAUACCUGUACUCACAACUAGCGGGUGAGGAGUCAAGGCAAAUAGGUGUCUCAUAGCUCCCCAUAUCUCGGCAGUCGACCACCUCCUCCUUUGAUUCUCUGAUGUCACUGCCAGUUCUCCUCCUAUUGCUCUGACCUGUCUUUCUCUGUGUCCUUUGCAAACUCAUUCUCAACUCCUUAGACUCAGUCAAGUCCCCCAGUUACACACUUCCAUGGUACUAUAUAUCGUUC